UAGAGUUUGAUCAUGGCUCAGAUUGAACGCUGGCGGCAGGCCUAACACAUGCAAGUCGAGCGGCAGCACGGGGGAACUUGUUCCCUGGGUGGCGAGCGGCGGACGGGUGAGUAAUGGCUGGGAACCUGCCCUGAUGUGGGGGAUAACAGUUGGAAACGACUGCUAAUACCGCAUGAUGUCUACGGACCAAAGAGGAGGACCUUCGGGCUUCUCGCGUCAGGAUGGGCCCAGUUGGGAUUAGCUAGUUGGUAGGGUAAUGGCCUACCAAGGCGACGAUCCCUAGCUGGUUUGAGAGGAUGAUCAGCCACACUGGAACUGAGACACGGUCCAGACUCCUACGGGAGGCAGCAGUGGGGAAUAUUGCACAAUGGGCGCAAGCCUGAUGCAGCCAUGCCGCGUGUGUGAAGAAGGCCUUCGGGUUGUAAAGCACUUUCAGCAGUGAGGAAGGUGGUGUAGUUAAUACCUGCAUCAUUUGACGUUAGCUGCAGAAGAAGCACCGGCUAACUCCGUGCCAGCAGCCGCGGUAAUACGGAGGGUGCGAGCGUUAAUCGGAAUUACUGGGCGUAAAGCGCAUGCAGGCGGUCUGUUAAGCAAGAUGUGAAAGCCCCGGGCUUAACCUGGGAACCGCAUUUUGAACUGGCAGGCUAGAGUCUUGUAGAGGGGG
rnacentral:rRNA from 1 species